CGGGGGAUUAGCUCAGCUGGGAGAGCACCUGCUUUGCAAGCAGGGGGUCGUCGGUUCGAUCCCGUCAUCCUCCA
rnacentral:tRNA from 1 species